UCUCGACCGUCAAAACGAAAACAAAUUGGCCUCCGAGGUGGAAGCUGCUGCGCACGCUGCGAGAGGGAGUCAGAACGCAGAGGAAAAACCUUCAGCCUCCAGCAGUUUGGGUCCUUUUCAGCGCGAGCUCCCCCCCUCCUCCCGGCGGUGCCCGCUGGAUUUGGUGUCAGCGCGCGCAGCAGUGGGCACGCACUUUUCCUCAACCCGACUCUCCACUGCGUUCUGCCUGACCUUCACAGCGAUAGUUUGCCUGCAGUCUCCACACUGAUCCGGAGGCUUUCCUGGAGCUGGAGUGUCCCCUCAUUUCACACUAGAAAGACAUUUGACACUUACACUCUGUCCCCUGACCCCUGACCUCUGUGCACGGCUUCUGUCAUCAACCUCACUCCUCAGUUCAGUGGUCAGAGCAGUCGUUUUAGCAGGCAUACAUCGUAUUAAGUAACAAAUCUUUCUUAGAGGCUGUGUUUGUGUUAAUAAUUCAAGUUUGACUUUCAGUGUCUUUCUUAGAAGUUUAAAGUUAGCGUGGGUGUUUUAAAGAUAAUAUUGUGUGUCACAGUUAAAGAUGAUGCCUGAGUUAGUGGUCAUGGAUUUUAUGUUGGUCAUGGGUUAUGUGUUAGUGGUGACAGGUUUAAGUUGGUGGUUACUGAUUAUAAGUUAGUGAUGAAGUUUUAAGGGUCAGUAGUGUUGGGUUUUAGGAUUAUGGGUUGUAGUGGUGAUGGGUUACAAGUUAGUGGCAAUGGACUCUAUGUUUUUGUGUUGGUGGAUAAGGGUUAUAGUCAGUUGUGAUGGGUUAAGAGUAUUGCAAAUGGCCUAUUUGUUGCGCCUUAUAUGUUAGUGUCGGGCUGCACAAUUAACCGAUUUUAAAUCGUAAUUGAAUUAUUUACUGAACCAAGUAUUACAAAAAGGGAAAAUUGAUUUUCCAUUAACCGUGCCCGACAUGGUGGGAUCCCGGGUCCCCUGCAGCCCCGGGCGCACCGCCGCGUCACGGGAGAUGGAGCUUGAAUGCGUGCGAUAGGUUAGGACCCAAACCAUUGGUGGGGAAAAAAGUUGAUUUAAGGUCUUUCAGCUUUGCCAUAAGCAUAUGCUUGAUUUAGCCUUUGCACGGUGAAGAUGUGCAGCUGAGGACGGGACGGAUCCACAAAGUGAAACCAGAGGGGUUACUGAGUGCGCACAGUGUGAGGAGUUCAGAGGUCACCAGACACACUGAGCUGUGAGGUCACUGUCAGCCAGGCCAGAGGUCACUGGUCAGUAUGUGGAGCAGCGGUGAUGGCCGACGGACUGGAUACAGUCUCUUUCCAACACCGCAGCUGAAACUUACCCAGAUGUCCAGCAGAUGAAGAAUUCUCAGUGGAGGCGUCCCUUAUUUCUUGUGUUUUAUUAAGGAUUAUCGAAGACCUGGCAGGAUCUGUAUUUUAACAUCUGACCCAGAGUCUAAUCACCUUGUGAGGAAAAGUGCACGGAUUACGACAGUGUUUCCUGGAAAACUGUGUGUGAAUUGGGUUGUGGGAUAUUUUCAGGCUCAUUGGUCUCAUGUCCGCUUGAAUGUGGUGAUGAGAUUAAUUUUCUUAAGGUAAACACAAGCAGGCAGCCUUACGCACAGAGAUGGAUGCACACGCACACGAGCACAUCAAUGGAUGUAGUCCAGUGUGAAAGAGCAUCAGGUGUGUGUAAAUACACACAUCUGUUUGCCAUAUGGACAGCUCUCCCGUGACCCGGACGGUUUUCUGUGGUUAAACCACCGAUGAACUAUCUGGGGAGUUCCAAUAAAGAAGACCUACAAAAACAAAAAUAAUAAACAAACUUCAUGUCAGGUUUUCGGAAAAGCUUCCACAUCUUCCACAACGCCGCAGGAAUGACAGUGCAACAUGUGCUGCAUGACGGCAUGACCCAUGAUCUAACAGGGCCGAGUGUGGGUGGGACGCUUUAGGGCAUGUGCUGAAUGUGUGACUCCACUUCCUCUUCUUACCUCCAUUCCACUGUUUCAGAUCCUCUUUUGACUGACAGACAGUAGUGGCAGUCUUCCUCAGUCUCUUGUUUCUCUGAAAGAACAGCGUUUCAGCUGCAUUUGUGAAACACACUCCGCAGCUGCUCGGCUGUUUAUAUCUGGACAAUUUGCUUGUUAGUGUUAACUGUGGGGAUCAGUCGUGGCUUUUAGAUGUGGAUCUGUGAAUUUUUUUUAUGGUCCGUGACAAAUUUCACAAUCAUAGUUGUCAUUGCUAUCGGUGUUCUUUCAAAACGUUUGAGGCCUAAUAAAUAUCUACCUUAUGACUAUAUGGAAAACAACUACA
ensembl:lncRNA